rnacentral:rRNA from 1 species
UACGUAGGCAGCGAGCGUUGUUCGGAGUUACUGGGCGUAAAGGGUGUGUAGGCGGUUGUUUAAGUUUGGUGUGAAAUCUCCCGGCUCAACUGGGAGGGUGCGCCGAAUACUGAAUGACUUCGAGUGCGGGAGAGGAAAGUGGAAUUCCUGGUGUAGCGGUGAAAUGCGUAGAUAUCAGGAGGAACACCUGCGGUGUAGACGGCUUACUGGACCAUAACUGACGCUGAGGCACGAAAGCGUGGGUAGCAAACAGG